rnacentral:tRNA from 1 species
GGCAAGGUGGCAGAAAUUGUGGUAGAUUGUAAAUCUACUUAUGAAGGAAGACUUCUCUUGUCA